rnacentral:rRNA from 1 species
UACGUAGGGUGCGAGCGUUAAUCGGAAUUACUGGGCGUAAAGGGUGCGCAGGCGGAGAUAUAAGUUAGAUGUGAAAUACCCGGGCUUAACCUGGGAAUGGCAUUUAAGACUGUAUGAUCUAGAGUUAGUAAGAGGGGGGUAGAAUUCCAAGUGUAGCAGUGAAAUGCGUAGAGAUUUGGAGGAAUACCGAUGGCGAAGGCAGCCCCCUGGUAUGUAACUGACGCUCAAGCACGAAAGCGUGGGUAGCAAACAGG